UGGCAUUUACUUCAGCUCUGUGCUGGGGAGAGCCCACAGAAAAGUAAAAGCUACUAGUGUUCUGCUUAUCACACAGCCACGCCAUAUUCCUGUCAGGAUGUGUCCCUUGGAUGUCACUGGGUCCCUUCAGAGGCUCCUCCCCACCUUUCCAGAUACUUUAAAGAAAAGAUACCCAAGCAUACGGCAAAUACUUUUUAAAGGACACAGAAAGUAACUGCACAUUACAACUACUCAACAUUAAGAAGAUGUUUCAACAGCACUUUCAUUAUUAAGAGGUAUCUUCGAGGAAUGCCCUCACGGCGUUCGGCUUUGGCAGAGAUGCAUCGCCAUCAGCCUCAGAAGCCCCGCCGCUCACACUUCCUUCGUGGUGUCAGGAGACCCAGAA